GACGAACGCUGGCGGCGUGCUUAACACAUGCAAGUCGAACGGAAAGGCCCUGCUUUUGUGGGGUGCUCGAGUGGCGAACGGGUGAGUAACACGUGAGUAACCUGCCCUUGACUUUGGGAUAACUUCAGGAAACUGGGGCUAAUACCGGAUAGGAGCUCCUGCUGCAUGGUGGGGGUUGGAAAGUUUCGGCGGUUGGGGAUGGACUCGCGGCUUAUCAGCUUGUUGGUGGGGUAGUGGCUUACCAAGGCUUUGACGGGUAGCCGGCCUGAGAGGGUGACCGGCCACAUUGGGACUGAGAGACGGACCAGACGCCUACGGGAGGCAGCAGUGGGGAAUAUUGCACAAUGGGCGGAAGCCUGAUGCAGCAACGCCGCGUGCGGGAUGACGGCCUUCGGGUUGUAAACCGCUGUCGCCUGUGACGAAGCGUGAGUGACGGUAAUGGGUAAAGAAGCACCGGCUAACUACGUG
rnacentral:rRNA from 1 species